GACGAACGCUGGCGGCGUGCCUAAUACAUGCAAGUCGAGCGCAGGAAGCUGACGGAACUCUUCGGAGAGAAGGCAGUGGAAUGAGCGGCGGACGGGUGAGUAACACGUAAGGAACCUGCCUCAAGGAUUGGGAUAACUCCGAGAAAUCGGAGCUAAUACCGGAUAGUUCAACGGACCGCAUGGUCCGCUGAUGAAGGGCGCUUCGGCGUCACCUUGAGAUGGCCUUGCGGUGCAUUAGCUAGUUGGUGGGGUAACGGCCCACCAAGGCGACGAUGCAUAGCCGACCUGGGAGGGUGAUCGGCCACACUGGGACUGAGACACGGCCCAGACUCCUACGGGAGGCAGCAGUAGGGAAUCUUCCACAAUGGACGAAAGUCUGAUGGAGCAACGCCGCGUGAGUGAUGAAGGUUUUCGGAUCGUAAAACUCUGUUGUAAGGGAAGAACACGUACGAGAGGGAAUGCUCGUACCUUGACGGUACCUUACGAGAAAGCCACGGCUAACUACGUGCCAGCCGCCGCCGUAA
rnacentral:rRNA from 1 species